AUUGAACGCUGGCGGCAGGCCUAACACAUGCAAGUCGAGCGGAGCGGCGGACGGGUGAGUAAUGCCUAGGAAUCUGCCUGGUAGUGGGGGAUAACGUCCGGAAACGGGCGCUAAUACAGCAUACUAUCAGAUGAGCCUAGGUCGGAUUAGCUAUUUGGUGGGGUAAAGGCCUACCAAGGCGACGAUCCGUAACUGGUAUGAGAGGAGGAUCAGUCCACUUGGAACUGAGACACGGUCCAGACUCCUACGGGAGGCAGCAGUGGGGAAUUUUGGACAAUGGGCGAAAGCCUGAUCCAGCCAUGCCGCGUGUGUGAAGAAGGUCUUCGGAUUGUAAAGCACUUUAAGUUGGGAAGCGUUACCAACAGAAUAAGCACCGGCUAACUUCGUGCCAGCCGCCGCGGUAAUUC
rnacentral:rRNA from 1 species